GGAGCGAACAGGAUUAGAUACCCUGGUAGUCCACGCCGUAAACGGUGGGUGCUAGCUGUGGGCCACAUUCCACGUGGUCCGUGACGAAGUUAACACAUUAAGCACCCCGCCUGGGGAGUACGGCCGCAAGGCUAAAACUCAAAGGAAUUGACGGGGGCCCGCACAAGCGGCGGAGCAUGCGGAUUAAUUCGAUGCAACGCGAAGAACCUUACCAAGGCUUGACAUAUAGAGGAAAAGUGCAGAAAUGUACUCCCCGUAAGGUCUCUAUACAGGUGGUGCAUGGUUGUCGUCAGCUCGUGUCGUGAGAUGUUGGGUUAAGUCCCGCAACGAGCGCAACCCUCGUCCUAUGUUGCCAGCACGUAAUGGUGGGAACUCAUGGGAUACUGCCGGGGUCAACUCGGAGGAAGGUGGGGAUGACGUCAAAUCAUCAUGCCCCUUAUGUCUUGGGCUUCACGCAUGCUACAAUGGCCGGUACAGAGGGCUGCAAUACCGUAAGGUGGAGCGAAUCCCAAAAAGCCGGUCUCAGUUCGGAUUGAGGUCUGCAACUCGACCUCAUGAAGUCGGAGUCGCUAGUAAUCGUAGAUCAGCAACGCUACGGUGAAUACGUUCCCGGGCCUUGUACACACCGCCCGUCAAGUCACGAAAGUCGGUAACACCCGAAGCCGGUGGCCCAACCUUUUGGAGGGAGCCGUCUAAGGUGGGACUGGUAAUUGGGACUAAGUCGUAACAAGGUAGCCGUACCGGAAGGUGCGGCUG
rnacentral:rRNA from 1 species